ACUCUCACACUUUAAAAUUUGGAGAUGUCCAGCUUAUGUCAAAUGUUUAAAGACAGAUAAGCUUAGACCCAAAUUUGAUAAGUAUUUAUUUGUAGGGUAUCCAAACGAAAUAAAAAAAUACUAUUUCUACCUCAUUUAAGAACAAAAGGUGUUCGUUAGUAAUAAGAUAUUCUUUUAGAAAGAGAGUUCCUUAAAGAAGAAACUGAUGCCACC
rnacentral:lncRNA from 1 species